rnacentral:sRNA from 1 species
CGAUCUGUUGGGGGCAGAUAUAGUGGAUGUGGCUGUCAAAGCCGCCCGCGGUAAGAAUGCGCCCUUCACCGGCAAUGAUUUCGGUGCCGGGGCCAAUGGGAAUGGUAACGCCUGGCUGGGUAUCGGGGUUGCCGGCCUUGCCGAUGGCCGCAAUCACCCCGCCCAAAAGGCCGAUAUCGGCUUUGUAGAUGCCGGUGUAAUCGACGAUCAGCGCGUUGGUAAUCACGGUAUCCAUGGCGCCUUGUGCGCGGGUCAGCUGCGAUUGGCCCAUGCCAUCGCG